AUAGUGUUCCGCACAUUGAAAAAAAAUAAACACUUUCAACUUAGACGUGUUAAAUGAAUUUCGGAUUUAAAAAACACUAACUUAAAAGUAUGUCCUCCAAAAAUUUAUUGGCUAAUAGAAAAUUUAGAAAAACUGAACAGAACGAUAAAAUUAAAAUACUUUGACUUACAAAGUGAAACCGGCACUUUAGUGUGAGAGUUUCUCUAUUAAAUUUACUGACACAAUUCACAAUUCUGCUUCUCCCCAGCACGGAUGUUGCUUGAGACAGCACUUGUCCCAAAAAGUUCGCUGACUUGUCCGGGAAUCCAUAGUGAUCUUCGCCGUGAUCGUUUAAGCUCAGCAACUGAAAAAGAAAAGAAAAUUAAAUAAAGUACCUGCUUACUGAUGAAAACGAUACAUAAACCUACCUGAAACUUUGAUUGAUGCCGAUUUCCUUCCGUCCCUGGAACCGGUCCUUGCGAUGCGAAAAUAUGGAAACGACACAACAAAACUUUUACUAAAAUUAUUGCUCAACUUUUGUUAUCCGAGUAUGGAUAUGUUGAAGCAAACUAAGCUGUACCAGAUUAUCCUUCGCCGAAUUUCUGGUUCUUCCGGACUUCUCCUCUCCGCAAUUUUAGCCUGAAAUAGAAAAGAGAUAGAAAAACUUAAAAUAUAAACUAAAAUUUGCCAAUAAUAAGCUUUCUGAGGAUACUUACCGUGAAAUUUGAACAGAAUGUUUUGAAGACGAUUAAUCUACAACCAGCUCCAAUGUUUACAUAAAAAAAUUCAUUCUCCUUUUUGUUCUUGACGUUUGUCGUGAGUGACCGUCAACAAAACACUCAGUAGCUUGACGUUGUCGUGAGUGACCGUCAGUAAAAUUACUACACUGAAACAAACGAUACUGUUCCAAUCAAUUGACGAUUGAGAUAUAGGUACUUCGUUUAAAAUGACACUAUAGUAAAGAAAUAUUGUUUUGAUCAGAUCAAAAUAGAUUAUUUCAAUUGGACUGUUACAUUCAUCUCUCUCAUAACAAAAUGGAUGAAAGUUCAUUCAUUUUAAGAAGGGACGAUGGGGUAAUGUAACCUUCCGUUACAUAUAUUUUUGUGUGGCUCCGCCACAAAAUCGAAUCAUCCCUGUCCUUUACGGAAAAACAACAAAUGUCACCCAAAAUAACGGCUAACUUCACCCAACCCAACUGUCAUUCCGCACAGGCACUCUCUUUCUAUGAGUGAUCCAUAGGCGUCGUGCUCAACCAGGGACGUCACGGGGAAGUGUGUGCACCCAGAGAACGACGCACCGUGUAAAUUUGCUUCCGAAUAUGUAUGUAUGUGUGUCGGUCCAUUGAAAGUAGAGUCUCGCAAAUAUCCUCACUGCAGAACAUGUUCUUUCUGUCUGUGAUCUCGUUAGAGGAAACAUGUGCGCGUCGUGUGGAGUAAAUCGUAAAUAAAAGUACAGAAAAUUACACGUAUUACAAACACGAAAAAGUAGUACGGUGCGGUUAUUAGAAAAUUAGUACGAUAACGAAUUGUUAAAAGAACAUAAAUAGUGUGAACUGAACUAAACAACAAACACAACAAAGAAAAGGUCCGAGAGGGCCUUUUCUUAUUUUAUCGGCUAAUUAUCCAGCUGAAAACACACGGCAACAUCUAAAAACAACCAAGAAACCCAGACAGAAAACCCGAAACAUAACCUUGCUCAAGGUUAUCAGUAAAAACCAUCCGGUUGAAUCAGGCCCGCAACAUAACCUUGCCGUUUUGAGGUUACGGACGAAAACCAUCCGGUGGUACAAGGCUCCUCCGACUGCACAAGUCCGGAAUCACAACCAGCAAGCAUCGGGUGCUUCCGGGACGCCGGAAGACGCCUGUUGUGAAUCCGGGUUUGCCGUUUGGAACAACAACAUCUAUGUGUCCGUCUGAUUGUCCACCGAUCGUGCGGUCUGUAGCAGCUCCAGUUAAGUCCCGUGUCAAACAAUAACAUUAACC